GUCAUCUUGAAGACCCGCUGCCCACUAGACUGCAGAUAGACCUCAACACAGUCACAGGCCCGGCUGCUGGUGGUACCCACCACUUCCUGCUGCUCCCGAGUGGCCAAGACAUAGAGGGCCGGACUCCAGAACCCUGAUCUUGGAGGCGCGGACUGAGUCUGCGACAGAUGCGUCUCCACACGCCUUCCCCAUCGCACACUUCGUGGAAGUAGCGGCAGGUCUGGCCAAGGGCAACAAGGUCUCUGACUGGGAGGAAUGAGAUGAUAUGCUCCACCUGGGAGGGAGGAGGGAAGAAGCGGGGAGUCAUUGGUGGCCCCUCGGUGGUCUGGCCCCCAAUCCUAUUAUUCUCAAUCCCCCUCCCCAAGGACUCACCAGCUCUGGGGGGAACAACUGGAUGGAAAUCGGAUUCCCUUUCCCCCUCUUCUCUUCAACCCCAAGCUCCGAGCCACAAGAAGGGCAGCUUCUCUUCACCUACCCAAGAAGGGGUGCAUAGGGUCCCAUGAGGGUCCCACAUCCUUUUUUCCCUUCUCUCCGCCUACCUUGGGGCUCAUCUGACUCUAGCUGGGUGCAGUUAUGUCCUCCCCCUCUCUCCAGACCCAUCCCUAACUUCUCCAAAUAACUCCUCCCGAUAUCCUGCGGCCAAUCCCCCUCACCCGGAGCCCCUCCUCCCGUCCACACAGCCUGGUGAAUUUUUGCAGCUUCCCUCUCUGGCUUCCCCUGACCAUCCUGAUUGCCCCCUCCCUGCUCCUGCCCUCCUGUCUCCUAGGCCCUUGGCCCCCCGUUCCUGCUGGCUUUCCCACACCAUGUCCCCAGCCUAGGCUUGGGGGACCUCUGAGGCCCCUCUGCCUCCUAGGCCCCUCCCCCAUGGAGUCUGGGGCUAACAAACCUCUCUGUGACCUCACUGUUUGGCCACUGUGACCUGUUCCCUUUAAUCUUGCCCAGGACCCAUCUCUUAGACAGCUCCUGGGUUCUAGCUCAGUUCUAGCCAUCACAUGGCUCAAGGGAUAUGCAUUUUACUGGAGAAAUAAAGUGUGAAUUACUGGUA